AUGGCCCCGUCACCAGACCCGCCACUGCCUCGGCUCCAUCAGUGCUGUCUGUCUCCCACUCUACACAACUCAUCAUGCACUGCCUUAAAAAUGGACUGCCAAAAAAGUGACUUAUACAGUGUGCAAAAUACACAGAGGGAGGAGCUGGAUCGUGCUCACAGAGAGCAGCUGAAGGAGCUGGAGGACGUGUUCAGAAGGAGACUGGAGGCCGCUGAUGUGGAGAGGUCAAAGGUAAGAGGUGUUUUUAAUAUGGAUGAGCCUAUUUUUUAGCGAGGGAAUCUACUGUUGCACUGACUGGAGCACAUUAAAUUAUUAUUCUUGCACAUUUGCACAUUUAUAUUAUGCUUCUGUUGUCAUCUUUUUCACCAUCUUCAUCUUUAUCUUAUUCUUAGUUUGUAUUGACAAAACAAAUACAUUUGAACACUCAACCAGCAAACUGG
rnacentral:lncRNA from 1 species